rnacentral:SRP_RNA from 1 species
CCUCGGGCCCUGUGCAAUACAACCCUCGAACCAUGUCAGGUCCGGAAGGAAGCAGCAUUAAGAGGUUCACUGUAUGUGCAACAGGCAUCCCGAGGCUC